rnacentral:rRNA from 1 species
CCUACGUGAGGCAGCAGUGAGGAAUAUUGGUCAAUGGGCGCGAGCCUGAACCAGCCAAGUAGCGUGAAGGAUGACUGCCCUACGGGUUGUAAACUUCUUUUAUAAAGGAAUAAAGUGAGGCACGUGUGCCUUUUUGUAUGUACUUUAUGAAUAAGGAUCGGCUAACUCCGUGCCAGCAGCCGCGGUAAUACGGAGGAUCCGCGCGUUAUCCGGAUUUAUUGGGUUUAAAGGUAGCGUAGAUGGGUUGUUAAGUCAGUUGUGAAAGUUUGCGGCUCAACCGUAAAAUUGCAAUUGAUACUGGCAGUCUUGAGUACAGUUGAGGUAGGCGGAAUUCGUGGUGUAGCGGUGAAAUGCUGAGAUAUCACGAAGAACUCCGAUUGCGAAGGCAGCUUGCUAAACUGCCACUGACAUUGAUGCUCGAAAGUGUGGGUAUCAAACAGGAUUAGAUACCCUUGUAGUC